AAAUAAGAAGUGAUCUCACGUUUAGUUUCGACCUAAAAAUAUGGGCCUUCAAAGCCCCUUAUUUA
rnacentral:tRNA from 1 species